AUGUGUGUGUGUGUGUGUGUGUGUGUGUGUGUGUGUGUGUGUGUGUGUGUGUGUGUGUGUGUAUUCUAGUAUGAACAAACCCACAUCAUCAUAUUUACAGACUUUUGCAUACAGCGUGUUUUUCCUGUUCCUUUGUUUACGUCGAGUUUUUCCCCCAAAAAUGAGGCUUUAAAAAUACAAUAAAAACUAGAAAUAAAAGGUGAUUUGUACAGAAUGAGGACGGCCUUUGUUUCUUUUGUCUUUUUGGGCCGAUUUCGUUGCGUUUCAAACAAACAGAGAGAAAAAAUAAUAAUAAAAAGAGCCGGCACAACGUGGUUGUAGAGGCCGCCGCCCACCGUUGCCAUGACGACGGGCGUUAAAUCGUCGGGAAAAGCACGAAAGGAUAAACUAAAGCGACGACACGUAAGCGCUGCCUGCUCUUCCACCUCCUACGUUUAAAUACUGAUAGACGACAUAUUCAGGACUUUUUUUUUGUUUAAGUUUAAAGCAGGACAUUAAAAAGUAUAAAAACACAAGACGAGUUUCUGGAACAGGCUCCGCCCCUCGCGUCAGACCAGGAAGAAGAAGAGGAAGAGGAGGAAGAGGAGGAAGAGGAGGGUUGAACACUGGAAGAGUCGACUGAAAUAAAGCGACGGAACAUGAAGCAGGUUUGUCAUGUUUCAGCUGCUUCAGGUGUUAAAUACGUGGAAAACAUGACCAAAUAUGGUGUUUAAUCCACACACCGUUCGUCCAAUCAUCACUCAGGAUCCAUUAGUCAAUACUUGAAAAAAACAAAACAAAAAAUAAACCCCACAUUUUUACUUUUAUGUGUAAAAACAGCCUGAACUCAACAUGAAUUUUAGACUUUCUUAUUGUAUUUAUCUGAAAUGACGAAUUAAACCAACUUCUGUACAAAAUUAAUCCAUUACUGCGCAAAUUAUUUUUGUUUUGUGAUAAAAAAUUGAAGAAUAAAUUGCAUUAAUUAACCAUUAGAAUGAACAUUUUAUCUUCACUUUAACCCAAAUGUUAAAUUCUGUCAGUGUUGAAGCUGAUCUCGGUCUAAAUUUCAACAGCUUUUUAAUCAUAUUUGUCUUAAAUACUUAAAAGUUAAGUGAAUAUUUGUGAGAUAAAUGUAAUAAAUCUGAUUUUUUUUUCCUCAAAUAGAUUAAUUCAUGUGAGAAAAUCCUUGACCUUAAACAAACGUCCACAGACAUAAAGAUAAAACCAUCUAUUAUUAUAUUUAUCGUUCAAAUACAUGGGACUUUUUUCAUAUAAAACGUGUCCGUGUUGCGUUCGUGCUGUUUAUCGCGUCAGUCAUGUGACCUCUGUCGUCCUCCUCGCUCUUCGUCCUGGUUGUGACGCCGGAGGAAGAUGAGCACCAGCAGUCGGCUCUGUGGACCAGGAGGAGGUAGGGAGGGGCCAGGGGCGGGGCGGGGCUAUGGGGCCUGGGGGCGGGGCUUCGACAUCUACCUGAUCCAGGACCAGGUGUUUGGGUUAAAAGCGUCCAGGUGUGGGCGGAGCCUCCAGCUUCAACGUCCUCAACCUCAGGUGGUUUUAAUACAUGAACGGUUCGUUAUCGAAGCGAACGGGUUCAUUCAUGUCGUUAAUAACAAACAAAAGUCAGAAAAUUCAUCACAAAUAAACCUUUUUCAGUCAAGAUUCAGUCAAAAGUGUCCAGUUUAAGCC